rnacentral:rRNA from 1 species
ACUCCUACGGGAGGCAGCAGUGGGGAAUCUUGGACAAUGGGCGCAAGCCUGAUCCAGCCAUGCCGCGUGAGUGAUGAAGGCCUUAGGGUCGUAAAGCUCUUUCGCCAGAGAUGAUAAUGACAGUAUCUGGUAAAGAAACCCCGGCUAACUCCGUGCCAGCAGCCGCGGUAAUACGGAGGGGGUUAGCGUUGUUCGGAAUUACUGGGCGUAAAGCGCACGUAGGCGGAUUAGUUAGUCAGAGGUGAAAUCCCGGGGCUCAACCCGGAACUGCCUUUGAUACUGCUAGUCUUGAGUUCGAGAGAGGUGAGUGGAAUUCCGAGUGUAGAGGUGAAAUUCGUAGAUAUUCGGAGGAACACCAGUGGCGAAGGCGGCUCACUGGCUCGAUACUGACGCUGAGGUGCGAAAGUGUGGGGAGCAAACAGGAUUAGAUACCCUGGUAGCGACUGA